ACUGCUCAUUUAAAAAAAUCUACACUGAUCUCGUCUGAUCUCAGAAGCUAAGCAGGGUCAGGCCUGGUUAGUACUUGGAUGGGAGACCGCCUGGGAAUACCAGGU
rfam:Rattus norvegicus chromosome X, whole genome shotgun sequence.